AGUAAUACUGGCCUCAGUAAUACUGGCCUCAGUAAUACUGGCCUCGGUAAUACUGGCCUCGGUAAUACUGGCCUCUGUAAUACUGGCCUCGGUAAUACUGGCCUCUGUAAUACUGGCCUCGGUAAUACUGGCCUCUGUAAUACUGGUCUCAGAACAGCGUGGACCAUAACAUUCCAUUUGUUUGUUGUUUCCCAUGAGAUUUAAGAGGGGUUUUAUGUCACAACCUGACUGAUAAUGUUUUAAAAAACAACCUGAACUUGUUCAAUAAAAUGUAUUUUUUUAAACUG